GCCAGCAUGGUGUAGUGGUUUGAGUGUUGGACUACCACUCUGGAGACCUGGGUUUGAUUCCUUGUUCUGCCA
rnacentral:tRNA from 1 species